GCAUGCUGCGUUUUAGAUGGUACGAGGUAGAUGGUACGAGGUAGACGGCAUGCUGCGUUUUAGAUGGUACGAGGUAGACGGCAUGCUGCGCUUUAGAUGGUACGAGGUAGAUGGCAUGCUGCGUUUUAGAUGGUACGAGGUAGACGGCAUGCUGCGCUUUAGAUGGUACGAGGUAGACGGCAUGCUGCGUUUUAGAUGGUACGAGGUAGACGGCAUGCUGCGUUUUAGAUGGUACGAGGUAGACGGCA